AUUUCCAUCGAUUCGAUUUCUUCAGCUCGCUGCGAUUCUUCUUUCUCCGCUGCUUGUAUUUUGUAUUUUCGAUGGCCUGUUUCAUGUUUGACGCAACAAUCCAGCAGUUCAGUUCACAAGUGGAUAAUAUUCGAUGGACACAAUGCAUUCUGGACAUAUUGCCGAACUAUUAGAGCCGAUUUACGCCUCAUUCGAUCGGAUUCUGAGCUCUUCAGCCACAUUGGACCAUAGCAUACUGGCAUACCAAGGUUUAUGGCCCUGUACCGUUGCACGAUCCCAAGUGGAAGUGGAAGUCCCUGCCCCAAAACGAAGAAGAACACCAGCAGCUACGACAGCAGCGGCCUCGAAAGAUAUUCUAUCUGUAUCUUUUGGCUGCCUCUUCAGUUCGCCUUGUGGGAGAUCUGUUAUCGCGCGCCUGUAGCUGCCUGACUU
ensembl:ncRNA lncRNA:CR44202 long non-coding RNA:CR44202